rnacentral:snRNA from 1 species
GUCCUCACUUUGGUAGUACUUAUACUAAAACUGGAGCAAUAAAGACAUUAACAUGUCUCCUGUGCAAGGAUGACACACAAAUUUGUGAAAUGUUUCAUAUUUUU